UUACAGCGGUGAAACACCGGUUCACGCACGAUCUCCGAAGUUGAGUAACCUCGAGCCUGGUCAGUACUUAGAUGAGGGACCGCUUGGCACUAACAGGUACUGUG